rnacentral:misc_RNA from 1 species
AUCAGUUUCAAGCUGGUCAAGUUCAACUAAGUGAUACAGACAAUGAUAGUAGGGAGGUAUCUACAGUGGAUGCAGGUAUGGACAGUAUAAAUGUUUCUGAUGCAGGUGAUGUUUCUGUGGUGAAUGAUUUUUCAGUUAAAAGUAAUUUGAAUGAAGCUCUAAGUUAUACUGGAACUCAAGUGGAAUCUCCUAGUAGAAUUGAAUCAGACUCGGUUUUUCAUGAUAGCUCUGGGUUGGAUGAGAUUGAAGAUAGACAAGUUCAACCUUUAUUUGGAGGUGAAGAUAAUGUUGUAAGUG